UAACUGUCAAAAUCCUUAGCGGGUGGGUUUUCUUAAAAAAAUUAAAACCCGCUAUGGGUUGCAGGUAGGUUUGGUAAUUUAAAUUUUGUGUGGAUUUGGUAAUUUAAAUUUUGUGUGGAUUUGGCUUUGAUAAUGACAAACCCGCCGCGGGCGAUGCCCAUUGCCAUCCCUAUCCGGCUCUAACAUAUUUUUUAAUAUUCUUGCGGCCUUGCAUCGUCAUUCUAUGUUUUCUUGAAUGAUUUUCCUAUUAACGAUUCAACGUCAUUUUUCAGUCCUAGCCAAGUCUAAAAAAAUAAGAGUGAUAAUAGACUCCUAUUAUCUCAAAGUUUAUUCUAAAUAACAUGUCAUUCAUUAAAUUUCAUAAUUUCUUAUAAAAUUUAAGUAAAUUAAUUGUAUUAUCUCACCAAUCAAUUUGAUGAAUGUCAUAUCAUUUAUGAUAAAAAUUUUGAGAUGUGUAACACUACUCAAUAAAUAAAUUUGGUGUUCUUCAACUAUUAAUAAUUGUAGUUAUAACAAUUUUGUGCAAAUACCAACACUAACCCUACUCAUUAUUGCUGAAACUCGAGUGAUUACACAUAAACCACAACUUAUUCAAUUUAAUUAAUAAGAAAACUACUGAAAUAUUCAAAUUUAAGAGUGAAAACGAGUGACAUUGAGCAAGAAGUUGCCGUUAUUAAUGAGACUGAUUGACAAUUUUCAUCCUUCGGAAUUUUAUUGAUAAGGUUACCAUAAAUUUUAGAAGUUGAUAAUUAAAGUUAUUAAAAUUAAAUAAUUACAACUACUUCAUGUCUUAAUGAUUAAUGAGUUUGUACUUUUGUGCAAAGUCUCCUUUCUGCAACUCACCAUCGGGUGAAUCAUGAAUGCGUUCCAAUUUGGUGGCGUGCUUGAUUAAUUUGUCCUUUAAUACAUGCCCAAAAGCUGUGUAUGCAGCUAGCUUUUACAAUUUCUAUCUUCUUCAUUCUUUAAUUUUUUUUUUUUUUGAUAACUUCAUUCUUUAAUUUUAUUUCGUAGGAACUGCGUCUUGU
rnacentral:lncRNA from 1 species